GGUUUUGGGUGUGUGAGUUAGGUCUUUGUUCUGAAGCACUGGAGAAGAAAGGAUGUGCAAAUGAUUCUCCAGUUCUCAGGCUGGGUUGGAGAAGCAGAGCUUUGAUUUCAGCUCUGGGUGAAGUUAUUUCAUAUUCUAAGAUUCUAUGCCUGUACUUGGAUCAGCACAUGAUGUUAUUCAACUAUCUGGAUGUAACAUUAUUUGCUUUAUGUUUGUUUUGAAGCAAGAUACCAUAUACGUGAUAUUUUCCUUGUGUGUUCUGAUGAAGUAUGAAUGGGAUGCAAUCCAUGAGAUCUCAUCUAACAACUUGAGGGAUUCGAAAAGCAGCUGUUUGAAGAGUUUGGAAAUACUGAUUAGAUAUAUGUUCAUUUCACGCGUGGUUUUGAUGGUCCACUUAUAAAACAAUUUUCAUUG